AGUUUGGGGGCAAGGAGGUGCUGCAGCAGGGCAUUAAACAAGUUUUGCAGAAAAACCUGCCAAGCAAGGAAGUGCUCUUAGAUAUGAAGGAGACACAUUUGACAUGCACGGACAGCAGCAGUAAACUGGAGCUGUUUGAGCAUCACUAUCCAGAGAUUUCAUGCGUUGGGAGAUUCGGUCAACCAGACUACAC